rnacentral:lncRNA from 1 species
AUACUAUACAUUAUCUAGGUAUUCUAAUGACUUUUAUGUAUAGUUCACAUACCAGUCCACAACAUAACAACAACAACUUGGCCAAACACAUUACUAAGAAUCAAGAUCCGAGUCUAAUAAAAUUCUUGUCUGACUUUCUUGGUUUCUGGGUUGCCCAGAAACUUAAUUGGUCAUGGUCGGUCAACGAACUUUGACCCUUAAUAACAUUUAAUCUACACAUGAUCUGGGCUUGAUUCAAGUUCCAGAUCAAAGCCCUGACAACAUAGAACAAAUCUAUAACUUACAACACACUACACAUCUAAAUUCGUGCAUCUAGAUGUUAUGGAUCCAAGUUAUAACAACCUAGAUCACUAAAUGACAUCCUUAUACACA